CGGAGGGCCGCGUGCCGAUGCGGGGCGGGCAGGAUGCAGCAGAAGCUGCUGCGCAGCGCGCACUACAUCGAGCUGGGCGGCUACCAGUACUGGCCCGUGCUGCUGCCGCGCGGCAUCCGUCUGUACACCUACGAGCAGAUCCCCGUCUUCCUGAGGGACAACCCCUACAUCACCGACGGCUACCGCGCCUACCUGCCCUCGCGCCUCUGUCUCCGCAGCCUCUUUAUCCUCUCCAACGAGAGCGUCAACAUCUGGAGCCACCUGCUGGGCUUCCUGCUUUUCUUCACGCUGGGAAUCCGCGACCUGACCGUCGUGCUGCCCGCCGCUCGCGCCGCCCGCGAGGACUUCGUCAUCUGCGCCGUCUGCCUCUUCUGCUUCCAGGGGGAAAAAAAAUUGAUGCCAGCCAAGAAGCCAAGUCAGUGUACUGCGUGUCAGAGGUCUGUAUGCUUUGCUCAGUAGGAUAUCAUCUCUUCUGUUGUCAUCGCUCAGAGAAGACCAGCCGAAGAUGGAUGGCAUUAGAUUACGCAGGAAUUUCCAUUGGUAUCCUAGGCUGCUACGUAUCAGGCGUGUUUUAUGCAUUUUAUUGUAGUAAAUACUGGCGUCAGGUGUACUUAAUCACUGUGCUGGCAAUGAUCUUGGCAGUAUUUUUUGUUCAGAUUCAUCCCAAUUACCUCACACAGCAGUGGCGCAGGCUGCGCUCCAUCAUCUUUUGCUCAGUGUCUGGAUACGGCAUUAUUCCUACUAUCCACUGGGUUUCACUCAACGGUGGCAUUGGUGCAGCUAUUGUACAGGUAAAAGACAAUAACACGGAAAUAAGAUUUACUUUUGCUUUGCACUUAGCAUCUUCCCUCGGUCUCAUUUUGGAAAUGAGGGAGAAGUAGAGCUAGUGACGAUUUCUUAAAGCACAGGAUUCCUUUGGAACGCUCAGAUUUAUGGAAAGCCAAUCAACAGGUUGAAUAGAUGAAGUCUGUUUCAGUGAUUUAAAGUUGAACUGUGAGAAGACCCACCUGGAUGCAAACAUGACCACGACGUUGUGCUUGCCUGAGGGGCAGAGCAGUGUGUGCAGGUCGGACGCACCCUUGCACACCUCAGGGCAAGGAGCAGGAGCAGAGAGCUGAGUCAGCAGGCAAGUGGGAAGCAGUCAGUCAGGAUGCACAGGUUGCAGAGGUGAGGUGAACCAGGAGACAUGGGUGGGAAGUUCUUCCUCUUCUGUGCCUUGGGUUGGUGGCAAAAUCGACAUUUGCCUACACAGCCUUCUGUCUCUCACGCAUUAUUUGUUUAAUAUCACUGUUAAGUUACCAAACUAAUUUCCCUCUCUUGCUUUACCACUAUGGUAAAGGUUACUCAGCUCUGAAAAACAGGAAGUACAGCACUGUUAAAGAAGGUGAAUGUGCCCCAAGGUUUAAAACAUUCCCCCAGGAAUCACAGCCAUUAGCCAGGGCUCUAACAGAACUGAAAAAAACCUUUGCUUUCAUAGCAAGUGACUGCCUGUGAAAGUUCUUAAGAUUGGCACUUCAGGAGGACUGUCUUCUAGGAUGCUGAUUUAGCCUGGUCCAGAGCUACUGCUGAAUUUGGAAGAGCAGCAUUGGUAAUAAAUGCAGUCUUCAGACAAGGAGUUUGCUCCACGUGUGGUUGUCAUGUAUUUCAUUGCUGCUGUAGCAUUUCUCUUCUAUAUUUCCAAAGUUCCAGAAAGAU